AAUCAACGCUGGCGGCGUGCCUAACACAUGCAAGUCGAACGAGAAAGCGGGGGCAACUCCGUGAGUAAAGUGGCGACCGGGUGAGUAACACGUGACUAACCUACCUUCGAGUGGGGGAUAACCUCGGGAAACCGGGGCUAAUACCGCAUAACAUCGUCGGGUGAAAUUCCUGACGAUCAAAGCAGCAAUGGGCUUGAAGAGGGGGUCGCGGCUGAUUAGCUAGUUGGUGAGGUAACGGCCUACCAAGGCAGUGAUCAGUAUCCGGCCUGGGAGGGCGCACGGACACACUGGAACUGAAACACGGUCCAGACUCCUACGGGAGGCAGCAGUGGGGAAUUUUGCGCAAUGGGGGAAACCCUGACGCAGCAACGCCGCGUGGAGGAUGAAGUCCCUUGGGACGUAAACUCCUUUCGACCGGGACGAUAAUGACGGUACCGGUGGAAGAAGCCCCGGCUAACUCCGUGCCAGCCGCCGCCGUAACAC
rnacentral:rRNA from 1 species